GGAGUGUGUCUGCUGGUGAGUGGUCUGCUAAGAUUUGGACUAAUAACACUUGAGAUCAUCCAGAGCCUCCUCCCCUGGGUGAAUUCCCCAAUGGAAAACUUCCGAGUCACCGGCACAGCUUUCCUUGCCCAGCUAAUGACUGAUCCCACGCUCAGGGAGAAGAAGUUGCUUAAGAGUGUCUUGCGCAUCUUGGAAGAAAGGUCACAGGAUAGGAACAGCAUUGUCCGUCAGAUGGCUGUAAGAGGCCUGGGAAAUAUAGUCAAUGGGGCGCCUGUGAAGGUA